CCUACGGGUGGCAGCAGUGAGGAAUAUUGGUCAAUGGCCGGAAGGCUGAACCAGCCAAGCCGCGUGAAUGACGAAGGUGCCAAGCAUUGUAAACUUCUUUUGUCAAGGGACAAAAUCAGGCUCGAGAGCCUGACCGAGGGUACUUGAAGAAAAAGCAUCGGCUAAGUCCGUGCAAGCAGCCGCGGUAAUCCGGAGGUUGCGGGGGUUAUCCGGAUUUAUGGGGGUAAAAGGGUGCGUAGGCGGGCUGUUAAGUCAGGGGGAAAAGCCCGGGGCUCAACCCCGGCGAGCCGUGGAAACUGGCGGUCUUGAGAGGACGAGAGGUAUGCGGAAUGCGCAGUGUAGCGGUGAAAUGCUUAGAUAUCGCGCAGAACUCCGAUUGCGAAGGCAGCAUACCGGCGGCGAUCUGACGCUGAGGCACGAAAGCGUGGGUAUCGAACAGGAUUAGAUACCCCAGUAGUC
rnacentral:rRNA from 1 species